AGGUGACCUGCGGAAGGAUCAUUAUCAAUAUCAGCGGGCUUCGGCCCCUGCUAUACCCUUGUCUUUUGCGUACCACUUGUUUCCUCGGCGGGCUUGCCUGCCGAUAGGACAAACACAAACCCUUUGUAGUUGCAAUCAGCGUCAGAAAAAAACAAUAAUUAAAACUUUCAACAACGGAUCUCUUGGUUCUGGCAUCGAUGAAGAACGCAGCGAAAUGCGAAAAGUAGUGUGAAUUGCAGAAUUCAGUGAAUCAUCGAAUCUUUGAACGCACAUUGCGCCCCUUGGUAUUCCAUGGGGCAUGCCUGUUCGAGCGUCAUUUGUACCUUCAAGCAAUGCUUGGUGUUGGGUGCUUGUCCGCCAGCGGACUCACCUAAAAGCUAUUGGCAGCCGCCGCAUAGGCAGCAGAGCGCAGCACAUUACCGCGUCUCUGCCCUCCGCGACGGCAUCCACAAGCCCUUUUCAACGUUUGACCUCGGAUCAGGUAGGGAUACCCGCUGAACUUAAGCAUAUCAAUAAGCGGAGGAAAAGAAACCAACAGGGAUUGCCCUAGUAACGGCGAGUGAAGCGGCAACAGCUCAAAUUUGAAAUCUGGCUCUUUCAGGGUCCGAGUUGUAAUUUGCAGAGGGCGCUUUGGCGUUGGCAGCGGUCCAAGUUCCUUGGAACAGGACGUCACAGAGGGUGAGAAUCCCGUACGUGGUCGCUGGCUAACGCCGUGUAAGCCCCUUCGACGAGUCGAGUUGUUUGGGAUGCAGCUCUAAAUGGGAGGUAAAUUUCUUCUAA
rnacentral:rRNA from 1 species